UACCAGACAUAUGACUAUGGCCUCCCAGC
rnacentral:piRNA from 1 species